GCUCCCUUCAAUGAAUUAGUAAACUUGAAGCGGUCCCAUUCUAAGAUUUCAAGAGAGAGAGAGAGAAACUAUGAAGAGCAUCGCCUUACUCUUUGCGCUCACUUUGCUUCUGGCUUCCUCUACGGAGUUAGCACUUUCCACUCGGAUGCCUCUUCCAAGCUAUGAUCCCCAAGAGAAAUCUAAGCCUAUCCACGUGAAGUGCAAACCACCUCAAGAGUGCUGUGUUUAUGGGUCCUCCAUAACUGAUUGCCGUAUGUGCGCUGUUGUAUGUCCAUGAGAGAUUACUUAAGCAGCAGUAGCUAUAAGUAGUGUGUGAUCCCUUUUGGGCUUUGAAUAAUUAUGUGUUUGGUUGUGUUUGAUGGUAUUUUUAAUAUUGCUUGUACUAUGAAAGAAAAGGCUUUUGAUGUGAA